rnacentral:rRNA from 1 species
AUUGAACGCUGGCGGCAGGCUUAACACAUGCAAGUAGAGCGAGCGGCGGACGUGUGAGUAAUGUCUGGGAAAAUGCCUGAUGGAGGGGGAUAACUACUGGAACCGGUAGCUAAUACAGCAUCCCAUCAGAUGUUCCCCGAUGGGAUUAGCUAGUAGGUGGGGUAAUGGCACACCUAGGGGACGAGCCCUAGCUGGUCUGAGAGGAAGACCAGCUACACUGGAACUGAUACACGGUCAAGACUCCUACGGGAGGCAGCAGUGGGGAAUAUUGCACAAUGGGCGCAAGCCUGAUGCAGCCAUGCCGCGUGUGUGAAGAAGGCCUUCGGGUUGUAAAGCACUUUCAGCGAGGAGGCGUUACUCGCAGAAGAAGCACCGGCUAACUCCGUGCCAGCCGCCGCGGUAAUAC